CGGGACGGGGGAAGGCGUUUUUCGAAAUCAUUGGGCGUAAAGCGCGCGUAGGCGGCCAUCUAAGUCUGGUGUGAAAGCCCGGAGCUCAAACACGGAAGUGCACUGGAUACUGGAUGGCUACUCGUAGAGAGAGGGAAGCGGAAUUCCUGGUGUAGGGGUGAAAUCCGUAGAUAUCAGGAGGAACAUCGGAGGCUUACGCGGCUUCCUGGCUCGUUUCUGACGCUGAGGCGCGAAAGCAUGGGGAGCAAACAGGAUUAGAUACCCUGGUAGUCCAUGCUGUAAACGAUGAAUACUAGACGUCGGAAUUCCUAAUAGUUUCGGUGUCGUCGCUAACGCAUUAAACAUUCCGCCUGGGGAUUUCGAUCG
rnacentral:rRNA from 1 species